CCUACGUGAGGCUGCAGUAAGGAAUAUUGGUCAAUGGGCGCAAGCCUGAACCAGCCAUGCCGCGUGCAGGAAGACGGCCUACGGGUUGUAAACUGCUUUUGUACCGGACUAUGUACGGUAAGAAUAAGGAUCGGCUAACUCCGUGCCAGCAGCCGCGGUAAUACGGAGGAUCCAAGCGUUAUCCGGAUUUAUUGGGUUUAAAGGGUGCGUAGGUGGCCUGUUAAGUCAGGGGUGAAAGACGGUAGCUUAACUAUCGCAGUACCUUUGAUACUGACAGGCUUGAAUACACUUGAGGUAGGCGGAAUGUGACAAGUAGCGGUGAAAUGCAUAGAUAUGUCACAGAACACCAAUUGCGAAGGCAGCUUACUAAAGUGUAUUGACACUGAGGCACGAAAGCGUGGGGAUCAAACAGGAUUAGAUACCCUUGUAGUC
rnacentral:rRNA from 1 species